GACGAACGCUGGCGGCGUGCUUAACACAUGCAAGUCGAACGAUGAAACCGGAGCUUGCUCCGGUGGAUUAGUGGCGAACGGGUGAGUAACACGUGAGUAACCUGCCCUUGACUCUGGGAUAACUGCGGGAAACUGUAGCUAAUACCGGAUACGACCCUCGGAGGCAUCUCCUGGGGGUGGAAAGAAUUUCGGUCAAGGAUGGACUCGCGGCCUAUCAGCUAGUUGGUGAGGUAACGGCUCACCAAGGCGACGACGGGUAGCCGGCCUGAGAGGGUGACCGGCCACACUGGGACUGAGACACGGCCCAGACUCCUACGGGAGGCAGCAGUGGGGAAUAUUGCACAAUGGGCGCAAGCCUGAUGCAGCAACGCCGCGUGAGGGAUGACGGCCUUCGGGUUGUAAACCUCUUUCGUCCGGGACGAUAAUGACGGUACCGGAAGAAGAAGCCCCGGCUAACUUCGUGCCAGCCGCCGCCGUAA
rnacentral:rRNA from 1 species